rnacentral:rRNA from 15 species
AUAAGCAAUUAUACAGCGAAACUGCGAAUGGCUCAUUAUAUAAGUUAUCGUUUAUUUGAUAGUACCUUACUACUUGGAUAACCGUGGUAAUUCUAGAGCUAAUACAUGCUAAAAAUCCCGACUUUGGAAGGGAUGUAUUUAUUAGAUUAAAAACCAAUGCCCUCCGGGGCUCCUUGGUGAUUCAUGAUAACUCCUCGAAUCGCAUGGCCUUGCGCCGGCGAUGGUUCAUUCAAAUUUCUUCCCUAUCAACUUUCGAUGUUUGGGUAUUGGCCAAACAUGGUUGCAACGGGUAACGGAGGGUUAGGGCUCGACCCCGGAGAAGGAGCCUGAGAAACGGCUACUACAUCCAAGGAAGGCAGCAGGCGCGCAAAUUACCCAAUCCCGACACGGGGAGGUAGUGACAAUAAAUACUGAUACAGGGCUCUUUUGGGUCUUGUAAUUGGAAUGAGUACAAUUUAAAUCCCUUAACGAGGAACAAUUGGAGGGCAAGUCUGGUGCCAGCAGCCGCGGUAAUUCCAGCU